rnacentral:rRNA from 1 species
GAUGAACGCUGGCGGCGUGCCUAAUACAUGCAAGUCGAGCGAACAGACGAGGAGCUUGCUCCUCUGACGUUAGCGGCGGACGGGUGAGUAACACGUGGAUAACCUACCUAUAAGACUGGGAUAACUUCGGGAAACCGGAGCUAAUACCGGAUAAUAUAUUGAACCGCGUGGUUCAAUAGUGAAAGACGGUUUUGCUGUCACUUAUAGAUGGAUCCGCGCCGCAUUAGCUAGUUGGUAAGGUAACGGCUUACCAAGGCAACGAUGCGUAGCCGACCUGAGAGGGUGGUCGGCCACACUGGAACUGAGACACGGUCCAGACUCCUACGGGAGGCAGCAGUAGGGAAUCUUCCGCAAUGGGCGAAAGCCUGACGGAGCAACGCCGCGUGAGUGAUGAAGGUCUUCGGAUCGUAAAACUCUGUUAUUAGGGAAGAACAAAUGUGUAAGUAACUAUGCACGUCUUGACGGUACCUAAUCAGAAAGCCACGGCUAACUACGUG